GACGAACGCUGGCGGCGUGCCUAAUACAUGCAAGUCGAACGCAGUGGGGACGGGGGAGUAACACGUGGGUAACCUGCCAUCAAAGGGGGUAACACUUGGAAACAGGUGCUAAACCGAUACUGAUGGAUGAACCCGGGGUGCAUUAGCGAGUCGGUGAGGUCACGGCUCACCAAGGCCACGAUGCAUAGACGGCCUGAGAGGGUGAACGGCCACACUGGGACUGAGACACGGCCCAGACUCCUACGGGAGGCAGCAGUAGGGAAUCUUCGGCAAUGGACGAAAGUCGGAUCGAGCAACGCCGCGUGAGUGAAGAAGGUUUUCGGAUCGUAAAACUCUGUUGUCAGAGAAGCGGUAUCUACACAGAAAGCAACGGCUAACUACGUGCCAGCAGCCGCGGUAAUAC
rnacentral:rRNA from 1 species